rnacentral:rRNA from 1 species
AUUGAACGCUGGCGGCAGGCCUAACACAUGCAAGUCGAACGGUAACAGGAAGCAGCUUGCUGCUUUGCUGACGAGUGGCGGACGGGUGAGUAAUGUCUGGGCAACUGCCUGAUGGAGGGGGAUAACUACUGGAAACGGUAGCUAAUACCGCAUAACGUCGCAAGACCAAAGAGGGGGAGCUUCGUGCCUCUUGCCAUCGGAUGUGCCCAGAUGGGAUUAGCUAGUCUGUGGGGUAACGGUUCACCUAGGCGACGAUCGCUCGCCGGUCUGAGAGGAUGAGAGGCCACACUGGAGCUGGGACACCGUCCAGACUCCUACGGUAGGCAGCAGUGGGGAAUAUUGCACAAUGGGGGCAAGCCUGAUGCAGCCAUGCCGCGUGUAUGACGAAGGCCUUCGGGUUGUAAAGUACGUUCAGCGGGGAGGAAGGGAGUAAAGUUAAUACCUUUGCUCAUUGACGUUACCCGCAGAAGAAGCACCGGCUAACUCCGUG